GUAAGGAAGAAGAAAGUUGCUACAUUUCAACUUAACUAAACUAUGAGAUCAUGAAAAUUUCCCUCUGGUUUAAACCUGUACUAGUCGCCUCAGCC